UUGAUCACAUUUACAAAUGUGUGAUUUUAACUCUGCUAAUUCUAUUUACCUGCUUUAUAAUGAAAUCUUUAGCAAGAUUUAGAUGGUCAUUCUCUAUUGGAUGACCUUUGACCUGUUCUACAGUAUCAUGAUGAUAUCAAAUCUGCAGCACAGGUAUUAAAUGCUCUCAGCAUCAAAGUCUGAAUGAAACUGAUCAUUAAAACAGUGUUUAGAGGGAGAAAAUCCACCCAAAAUAACAUGAAGUAAAUCAGGAGUGUCUGUUUCUGAAAAUGAUCAAUAGAAAUUUAUUAGCAAAGAUACUAAAUGACAAAACAGUGUUUCUGCUGUCUUCAGGUAAAUGAUCUGGAGUGUGUUUGCAUAUUGAUCAGAUGCUUCAGUGCUCUGAGAGUGUUUAUAGUGCUGUGAGUUUAACACUUCAUCACUGACACACACAACAAUCUUCAUCAACAUGACCUUCAUCAUCAUCUUCAUCUGGACUCUCACAGCGUUUGCUCAAGAGUGUAGAGGACAGAUCACCGUCACUCAGAGUCCCUCAAUGACAGCAGCUCAACCAGGACAAACUGUGAACAUCAACUGUAAAACCACAGAUGUGCUUAAUGGAGAUCAUUUAUUCUGGUACUUACAGAAGCCUGGAGAAGCUCCUAAUAUCCUGAUUCGUCAUGUAAAAAAUCGCUACUACGCUGCAACUCCAUCUAGAUUCAGUGGCAGUGGAUCUAACAAUGAUUUCACUCUGACUAUCAGUGGAGUCCAGACUGAAGAUGCUGGACAUUAUUACUGUCUUGGUAGCCACUGGAUCAAUGGCUGGAUGUUCACACAGUGAUAAAGAGUCGUACAAAAACCUCCGUCAGUCAGAGUCACAGUGACUGAACUGAUACUGCAGCUGCUCACACACUUUCACACACACUCAAUAGUGCAGAAACAACUCAAUAUGAACUUACUGAACAUCACUUUUGUUGAGCUGAAUCAGUUUUUAAACUUUUUGAUUGUGAUUUUUUAGAAGUCAUAUGUCUCCUGUUAUCCUAUUACAUCCUUUAUGUAGAAAUUCAGUCACUUUUGAUCUUCACUUCAGUUGAUAUUUUUCCAUUCUUCACCACAUUUUUUGAUUUUCUGCAUUUAUGAUUUAUCCUUAUUCUUCUUUCUAAACUGAAUCAUCAUCAUCAUCAUAAACAUGUUAUGCUUGAUCAGUUUAAUAAGUCUAUUGAUUUAUUAAGUUCAUCCCUCAUAAAGCAGAUAUUAUCAGCAUCAUAUAAAGAUAUUCCUCAAUUUCAGAGCAGAUCAUAAUGAAUAUAAUUGAUAUAAAUAUCUAUGAAGAAUUAACAAUGAUAUAAAAAUUAAUUUUAAAAUUAAAGACCAGAUUACCCAACAGCUGUUGUCCACCAUCAAAAACAUGUCACCAUAUAUUUUACGUUUAUUUUAUGAAGAUUCAUAAAAGUGAAGAUGUUUCUAUCAUGUGUGACGCGACUCACAAUCAAACUCAGUUGAUUCAGUGAUUGACAGAGACUCGUGUGUGAUGAUCCUCAUGUCUGUUCAGAAACUGCAGGAACACACAUGGAUUUGGUAUAAAUUUGGGGAUUAACAGUGACGUUUCAAUCCAACUACAGUAAAAAAUAUUCUCAGAGUCUCACAGCAGAUAUUCAGAUUAAUAUAAUAAAGUUGAUCUUGUAGAUGUUUUCAGAAUUGAAUGAUGCAAUUUUAUGAAAAAGACUGAUGAUUUACUAGAUGUUCACUUCAGUAACUGUAUUUUGUGUCUGUUAAUGAGUGACUGUCUUCAGGUAAAUGAUCUGGAGUGUGUUUGCAUAUUGAUCAGAUGCUUCAGUGCUCUGAGAGUGUUUAUAGUGCUGUGAGUUUAACACUUCAUCACUGACACACACAACAAUCUUCAUCAACAUGACCUUCAUCAUCAUCUUCAUCUGGACUCUCACAGCGUUUGCUCAAGAGUGUAGAGGACAGAUCACCGUCACUCAGAGUCCCUCAAUGACAGCAGCUCAACCAGGACAAACUGUGAACAUCAACUGUAAAACCAGCAGAGAUGUGUACAGAUGGAGUAGUUAUGAUCAUUUAUCUUGGUACUUACAGAAACCUGGAGAAGCUCCUAAACUCCUGAUUUAUUGGGCCAACUGCCUCCAGUCAGGAACUCCAUCUAGAUUCAGUGGCAGUGGAUCUAACAGUGAUUUCACUCUGACCAUCAGUGGAGUCCAGACUGAAGAUGCUGGACAUUAUUACUGUCAGAGUUU